UUGAUUUGCUGAGGGGUUUGAUUGUUAAGCUGCCUUACAUAAAUAUAGUAAGAAAUGGAUUAUUCUGAUAUACAUGCUCAUUAUAAUGACGGAUGCAGAUGGAAAAAAUCUCGUAACGACAAAAAAGUGAUCUUUCUUAUUUGUUUAUGUAAUGCUAAAAAUGAUAAUGACUUUGAAAUACAUACUAGAACAAGAUGUUACUGGCGUAGGUUUGAUGGUGAAAACAAAUACAUUCUGCGAAGGUUUUGCUAUUGCGGAGAGUACAUCAGAAAAGUAGGUCCGACACCUCCAAUUAAUUAAGAUUUGAUGAGAUCGUGGAAGAGGAAGAUUGCAUGCAUCCUAUUUGAAAGCUAUACAGUCCAGGCACAAAUUCCACCUUCAUGUCAAGACACAAAUUUUACCUUCCUGUAGAGGAGAAUUAUGAAACUAAAUUUUACUCGCACCCUCCUUGUAUUACACUGCUAACUACUCGCCUACUUUGCACCUCAUCAAUAUAUGUUUAGCCAACAAGCUCCACCACUGCACCAAAAAAA